UACGUAGGUGGCGAGCGUUGUCCGGAUUUACUGGGCGUAAAGAGCGCGCAGGCGGCUGGUCAAGUCCGAUGUGAAAGCUCCCGGCUUAACUGGGAAAUUGCAUCGGAAACUGAUCGGCUGGAAGGUGGGAGAGGGUAGCGGAAUUCCCGGUGUAGUGGUGAAAUGCGUAGAUAUCGGGAGGAACACCGGCGGCGAAGGCGGCGACCUGGUUGGAUACUGACGCUGAGGCGCGAAAGCGUGGGGGAGCAAACAGG
rnacentral:rRNA from 1 species